UGGGGAAUUUUGGACAAUGGGCGAAAGCCUGAUCCAGCAAUGCCGCGUGUGCGAAGAAGGCCUUCGGGUUGUAAAGCACUUUUGUCCGGAAAGAAAUCCUUGGCUCUAAUACAGUCGGGGGAUGACGGUACCGGAAGAAUAAGCACCGGCUAACUACGUGCCAGCAGCCGCGGUAAUACGUAGGGUGCAAGCGUUAAUCGGAAUUACUGGGCGUAAAGCGUGCGCAGGCGGUUUGCUAAGACCGAUGUGAAAUCCCCGGGCUCAACCUGGGAACUGCAUUGGUGACUGGCAGGCUAGAGUAUGGCAGAGGGGGGUAGAAUUCCACGUGUAGCAGUGAAAUGCGUAGAGAUGUGGAGGAAUACCGAUGGCGAAGGCAGCCCCCUGGGCCAAUACUGACGCUCAUGCACGAAAGCGUGGGGAGCAAACAGGAUUAGAUACCCUGGUAGUCCACGCCCUAAAACGAUGUCAACUAGUUGUUGGGGAUUCAUUUCCUUAGUAACGUAGCUAACGCGUGAAGUUGACCGCCUGGGGAGUACGGUCGCAAGAUUAAAACUUAAAGGAAUUGACGGGGUCAUAGCUGUUUCCU
rnacentral:rRNA from 1 species